UGACCUCAACUCAGUCGUGAUUACCUGCUGAAUUUAAGCAUAUAACUAAGCAGAGGAAAAGAAACUAACGAGGAUUUCCCUAGUAACGGCGAGUGAAUGGGAAAUAGCCCAGCGCUAAAUCUACUAAUCUUUUUGAUUAGUUAGAAAUGUAGCGUAUAGGUAUAACAAAAUAUUUAGUCGAUUGUUUUAUGCACCCAAAGUCCCCUUGAGUGGGGCCAUGAUCCGUAGAAGGUGCGAGACCUGUACGGGUGAUGAAGCAAUCGAUGCGUUAUACUCUAGAGUCGAGUUGUUUGAGAUUGCAGCUCAAAGAGGGUGGUAGAUUUCAUCUAAGGCUAAAUAUUGCCACGAGACCGAUAGCAAACAAGUACCGUGAGGGAAAGUUGCAAAGAACUUUGAAGAGAGAGUUCAAGAGGACGUGAAACCGCUGAGAUUGAAGCGAAUAGAAUUGACGAAACUCGUUAGCAUUCAACCAAUCGGAUAAACAUUGCUAUAUUGUUGAAUAUAUUUUUUUAUUUUUUGAAAAAAUAUAUUCGUCGUGUACAUUAUGAUAAAAAAUUAGUAAUGACAUCAAUAUAUGCAUAAAUUGUUUAUUAUAUAUAAUUUUAUAUAUAAAGAUUGGUGCUUUUGCUAAUAGUAUGCAUUGAGAAUCUCGUUAACGUAUGAAACGAUUCGAUUGUUCUUGUGGACCGUUUGUCUUUGUUUCAAAGUGAACGAAAUCCAACAAUUGAAUGAUAAUGAAGAGAGAGCAUAUCGUUAAUGAGAGAAAGGUGAUAUCUCAACUGUAGUUUUUCGAGACUAUAGUGUUUCAAGGAUCCUCUUCAUUAACAAUAGCAUUGGAUAAAACGCUUGCGUUUUUAUCUAUGUAAUUUUUUUAUUGUUUUUGUUGAGAUUUUUUGAUGAAACAUUUUUUAAAUAAAUAAAAGAGAUAUAUUCUCGAUGUGAACGUCAAUCACCUAUUCGACCCGUCUUGAAACACGGACCAAGGAGUCUAGCACAUACGCAAGUCAAUAGAUAUAUAAAAUCUAUCGGCAUAAUGAAAGUAAAUGUUGUUGAUUUAUUUUUAUCGAUAAAUCUAAACAAUUUAUAUGCGAUCCAUUAUGUGAGAAGAGUUUUUUUGUAAAAGAAAAUAAUUUGCGUAUAAUGGAGCAACAUAGACCCGUUCGUAUUGCAUGCAUCGGAAGAUGGUGAACUAUGCCUGAGCAGGAUGAAGCCAGAGGAAACUCUGGUGGAAGUCCGAAGCGGUUCUGACGUGCAAAUCGAUCGUCCGACUCGGGUAUAGGGGCGAAAGACUAAUCGAACCAUCUAGUAGCUGGUUCCCUCUGAAGUUUCCCCCAGGAUAGCUGGAACUUAUUUUGAGCAGUUAUAUACGGUAAAGCGAAUGAUUAGAGGAAUUGGGGACGAAACGACCUCAACCUAUUCUCAAACUUUCAAUGUGUAUGACGUCUCGCUUGUUUAAAAAAAUUAUGAAACGUUUAGAUAUUGAAUGUGAGUUCCAAGUGGGCCAUUUUUGGUAAGCAGAACUGGCGCUGUGGAAUGAACCAAAUGUCGAGUUAAAGUGCCGAAUUUUACGCUCUUGAAAGGCGUUGGUUGAUAUAGACAGCAGGACGGUGGCCAUGGAAGUCGGAAACCGCUAAGGAGUGUGUAACAACUCACCUGCCGAAUCAACUAGCCCUGAAAAUGGAUGGCGCUUGAGCGAAAAACUUAUACUCGACCGUUGUUUGGUAUGUAUUUUUCAAAAAAAAAAAAUCCGACCACAACGAGUAAGAGGGUCGCAGUGGUUUGCGUUGAAGGUUUUGAGCGUAGGCUCAACUGGAGCUUCCACUGGUGCAGAUCUUGGUGGUAGUAGCAAAUAUUCAAGUGAGAUCCUUGAAGACUGAAGUGGAGAAGGGUUCCACGUGAACAGCAGUUGAAUGUGGGUCAGUCGAUCCUAAGAUAUCGGCUAAUGCCGUUUUAUGAAUUUCAAUGAGAGAGAAGAAGGAUGGAAAAAUUUUUUUAUCAUUCGUCUCGUCAUUAUCGAAAGGGAAACGGGUUCAUAUUCCCGUACCCGGACACGGAGAGUGGCGUUCACGAUUGUGAAUGUCUAGCGCGGUAACGCAAACGAACUCGGAAACGCUGAAUAGAGCUCGAGCCAGAGUUCUCUUUUCUGGUUAAGAAAUGGACUCCCUGGAAACGGUUCAGCCGGCGAUAGGGACGUUAUUUUCGUAAAGCACCGCGGUUCGUGUGGUGUCUCGUGCGCUCUUAUUUGGCCCAUGAAAAUCCGAGGGAGGCUAUUUGAAUUUCGUGCCGGAUCGUACCGAUAUCCGCAGCAGGUCUCCAAGGUGAACAGCCUCUAGUCGAUAGAAUAAUGUAGGUAAGGGAAGUCGGCAAAUUAGAUCCGUAACUUCGGGAAAAGGAUUGGCUCUAAGAACUGAGUCGGACGGGCUGUUACGUGAAGUAUGCUAUAAUUGAAUCGAAGCAGUGCAAAACUAUUUAUAGUGUAGUGGGUGGUAUUUUUUUUUCUUUGUUUUACGAAAUCAUUUUUUGAUUUCUGUGAAAUUUUUAGAAAAAAAAUUUACUCACUCUUAUAAAUGGUCAAGUUCGGCUAGUGUUUCAAUUGUCGUACGGAGCGUUAUAGCUGUGCGUCGCACUCAUAUAUACAUAUAUCUCUAACUAUCUUUUAGGAUAUGUGAAUGAGUGUAUGUGUAUGAGUGUAUUUUUGUUAAUAGGCGCUUCGUCCGUCGCUAAACAGUCGACUUAGAACUGGCACGGACUCGGGGAAUCCGACUGUCUAAUUAAAACAGAGGAGACAGACGGUCCUUGUGGACGUUGACUGUCUCUGAUUUCUGCCCAGUGCUCUGAAUGUAAAAGUGAAGAAAUUCAACGAAGCGCGGGUAAACGGCGGGAGUAACUAUGACUCUCUUAAGGUAGCCAAAUGCCUCGUCAUCUAACUAGUGACGCGCAUGAAUGGAUUAACGAGAUUCCCACUGUCCCUAUCUACUAUCUAGCGAAACCACAGCCAAGGGAACGGGCUUGGCGAACACAGCGGGGAAAGAAGACCCUGUUGAGCUUGACUCUAGUCUGACUCUGUGAAGAGUCAUGAGAGGUGUAGCAUAAGUGGGAGGUUAUGAAAAAAAAUUAUAGCCGCCGGUGAAAUACCACUACUUUCAUCGAUUCUUUACUUAUUCGGUAAGACGAGAAUUGAGCUGUAUUCAUCGGCUCUUAUUUCUUGCAUUCAAGUACUUAGACACUUGGUGUUGGUACGACUCGCGCCGAAGACAGUGUCAGGCGGGGAGUUUGACUGGGGCGGUACAUCUGUCAAAACGUAACGCAGGUGUCCUAAGGCUAGCUCAGAGAGGACGGAAACCUCUCGUAGAGUAAAAGGGCAAAAGCUCGCUUGAUCUUGAUUUCCAGUACGAAUACAGACCGCGAAAGCGUGGCCUAUCGAUCCUUUUGAAUUAGAAAAUCUCUAGCAAGAGGUGUCAGAAAAGUUACCACAGGGAUAACUGGCUUGUGGCAGCCAAGCGUCCAUAGCGACGUUGCUUUUUGAUUUGAUGUCGGCUCUUCCUAUCAUUGUGAAGCAGAAUUCACCAAGCGUUGGAUUGUUCACCCACCAAUAGGGAACGUGAGCUGGGUUUAGACCGUCGUGAGACAGGUUAGUUUUACCCUACUGUGAUAUGUUGUUGCGAUAGUAAUCCUGCUUAGUACGAGAGGAACCGCAGGUUCAGACAUUUGGUUUAUGUUCUUGGCCGAUCGGCCAAUGGUGCGAUGCUACCAUCUGAGGGAUUAUGACUGAAUGCCUCUAAGUCAGAAUCCCGUCUAGACAUGGCAACGAUAAUUUUGCUCCUCGAUGUCGAGAGGCAAAUCUAUAUAGAUAUGUUUAUUGUGCAUAUCUAUAAUAUUAGAUGGUAUUGCUAUACGUGUUGAAUAAAUUGCAUGUAUAGUUGCCAAAGCUGGUUUCAAAAAAAAAUCCGCUACCAAUGUCGGGGCGCAAAAUCACUUGUAGACGACAUGAUUACUGGUCAAGAUUGUAAUCAGUAGAGCCUCCAUACUGCGAUCUGUUGAGACUCAUCCUUUGAUUGGACGAUUUGU
rnacentral:rRNA from 1 species